GCGGCGCUGGUCCCGGUUCCGGCGGGCGUCGUUCUCCUCGGCGCCGAGCACGGGCGCGACGUCGUGCGGCUCGGCGCGCUGCUC
rnacentral:tRNA from 1 species